GUGUGUGUGUGUGUGUGUGUGUGUUUUAUUGGGGAAACCUGUUUGUUGCUAGGAAUUCUUCAUGGCACCAAGUGAAAAGCCUAAAACAGCUAAAGAUGAUACAAAAGUGAAACAUAUAUGAUAUCUGAUUGUACUUAUCAAAAAAAAAAAUAUGAUAUCUGAUUGUGCCAAAAAGAAAUCACUGUAGUUCUGAUACUAAAGGCUUAUUGAGGUUUACUAGCUCUUUGAUCCUUCUAUGUCCUUGUAUCUGCAGUGGAACGACUAAC
rnacentral:lncRNA from 1 species